CUCGGCCUCGGGGUGCUCGUCCGGCUCCUCGGCCACGCUGCCGAAGCUGCUGGCGCUGGAGGACGAGCGGGAGAAGUCCCGCGGAGGCUCCGGCCUCUCCGCCCUGCCAAGGGACACACCUGGCCCCCUGUCACCCUGGCCCCAAGCCACCCCGCCCCGGUGUCACCCCAUCCCCGGGCCACCCUGUCCCCACAUUGUCACCGCACCACCCUGUCCCCAUGCCACCCAGCCCUGGGCCACCCAAGCGCCACGCUGUCCCCACCCCAUCAUGUCCCCAACCUUGUCCUCGUGCCACCCUGUCCCCGUGACAUCCCGUCCCCGUGCCACCCCAUCCGUGUGCCACCUUGUCCCCGUGCUGCCACAUCCCUGUGCCACCGGCCGCUGCUGUGACCCUGUCCCUGUGCCACCCCAUCCAUGUGCAUCCAUGAUGACCCUGUGUCCCUAUGUUCCUGUGUCCCCAUGUCCCUGUAACCCUGUGUCCCCAUAACUCUGUCCCCAUGUCCCCAUGUCCCUGUGUCCCCAUGUCCAUGUGUCCCCGUGUCCCCAUGUCCCAACAUCUCCAUGUCCCGUGUCCCCUGUCCCCGUGUCCCCUCUCCCGGCGCCCCGCACGGGACCUGUCCGGGUGCCGGCGGCUCUCUGGGGAGCUGUGCGCGGAGCCGGCGCCGUCGGUGUUGGCGGCGGGGCCGUCCCUAGGGGACAGCGGCGGGCGGUGAGGGGACACCGGGGCCGGGGGCAGCCCCGCGCCCGCUCCCGGCGCGCACCUGCCGGGCGGCGCCUCCUGGAUGCUCUCGAUGCCGAUGGCGCUGGAGCGGCGGGAGCCGAGCGGGCCGGGCCGCCGCCGGGACGGGCUCUUCCCGGGCACCAGCAGCGCCUGCGGGAGCGCGGUCAGC
rnacentral:lncRNA from 1 species